rnacentral:rRNA from 1 species
GAUGAACGCUGGCGGCGUGCCUAAUACAUGCAAGUCGAGCGAACAGACGAGGAGCUUGCUCCUCUGACGUUAGCGGCGGACGGGUGAGUAACACGUGGAUACCCUACCUAUAAGACUGGGAUAACUUCGGGAAACCGGAGCUAAUACCGGAUAAUAUAUUGAACCGCAUGGUUCAAUAGAGAAAGACGGUUUUGCUGUCACUUAUAGAUGGUUCCGCGCCGCAUUAGCUAGUUGGUAAGGUAACGGCUUACCAAGGCAACGAUGCGUAGCCGACCUGAGAGGGUGAUCGGCCACACUGGAACUGAGACACGGUCCAGACUCCUACGGGAGGCAGCAGUAGGGAAUCUUCCGCAAUGGGCGAAAGCCUGACGGAGCAACGCCGCGUGAGUGAUGAAGGUCUUCGGAUCGUAAAACUCUGUUAUUAGGGAAGAACAAAUGUGUAAGUAACUAUGCACGUCUUGACGGUACCUAAUCAGAAAGCCACGGCUAACUACGUG